UUUCCGUAGGUGAACCUGCGGAAGGAUCAUUACCGAGUGAGGAUCUCUCAGGCCCGACCUCCCAUCCUGUGUUUUUGUGACCUUGUUGCUUUGGCGGGCCCGCCUCGAUGAGAGGCCGGCGGAAGGUCACCGCCUUGGGCCCGUCCCCGUUAGAGGUACCCUUAAAUUACUAAUACACCUGUAGUCUGAGACAAUGGAGAUAAUGAAUAAAAACUUUCAACAACGGACCUCUUGGUACGGGCAGCGCAGAAGAACGCAGAAGAUAGGAACAGCACACGG
rnacentral:misc_RNA from 1 species